CUCGGACGCGCAACGGGCUCAAAGCGGAGAACGCUGGCCGGGUCAAUAAACGCAAGGAUCCUUGCUUGGCUGGCAAGGUCGUCGCGAAGGUGGAACAAUUGUCUGACUUAAUGUCCGUCUACGCUCCUCAGGGUCAGUGAGCACCUUCGAUACAGCUUGACAUUCGUAAAGCGUGCAUGGCUCUAAACUCAUCGCUAUUCGUCCACUUUAUGGCUUUUUCAACGCUGGGAACCUUCGUCGAUAGAUCGAGAACAUCCAGGCACUCGGGUUGAAGUCGCCGAAGGUCGACGUUACCGAAGGUUUUUCGGCGUUACCAAUCGCGAGGCGACAAUGACUUUAAAUUCAAAUCCUGUAGGUACACCGCGACGAAGCGUAGUGCAAACGAGGCCAAAGUGAAAAGCCCGACGUGUUCCGUUGCUGUAUCUACAUUGUACGCUUAUGCGCGCGAGUAAACACCUCGGCGACAGCUGUUUGUCGAAGAAGCAUUCAGUUUUUACGCCACGAAUGCUCCAUCUGC